UACCUUGAAUAGGAAGAUAAUUCUUAUCUCUGAGAAGAGGUAGAGCAGCAAAGGCACAAAACGACGCCAAACCUUGUGUGAUCAACACCAUCCUACGAACACCUACCUCUUCCGCUGCAACCUCCGUGUUCCUCAUCCAAACAGCGUCGGAGACCAAACAACACACUGUCUCUCCUCUGCCUACUUCGGCCGCCAGAGACUGGCGAAACGGCUCCGCGUAAGUUUGUCUUAGCAGACGAAUGAAGGCGACGAGGUCCAUACUGGAAGCAUCUGGUUGAGUCAGAGGGUCCUCUCCUCCUGCGUUGCUGUGAGGGAUGGUUCGAAAAGUAAAGAGUGGGUAGUGACAAGGAUCGGGGAAGUUGAAGGAAGUGUGGAGGAUCGUGACGGAGAAGCCACGAUGGUGAAAUAUCCUGGCGAGUUGGAUCAUUGGGUUCAAGUGUCCUACAAACGGUAAAGGGAACAUUAUUAUUUUCCUACCUUUUCUCUCUUCCAUUUUUUUCUUCGUAACCUUUUUUGUUUCUUUUUCUUUUUGGUAAUUAGAGAUUUUAGGGUUUAUUUGAUUUGUUGUAGGUGUCUGAGUGGUCGCAACCAGUCAGUCAUGAGCAUGGUUGUAGUAAUGGAUUGACGGGAUGGGAUGACACAUUUGAUCCACAAAUUAUAUUCAAAGUUAAAUAAAAGUAAAAUGAAAUAAAUGUUAUUUGUGUCUCUUAUUAGAUUCAUACAUAUAUUAUCAUAGUAUAUUAUCAACCUUUAGUUAUUGGAUCCUUCGAUCUAUUGGUGGUUGUUAAUACAAGUUGCUUAUUGUAAAGAGAUAUAAAAAUAUUAAUAAAAAGUAAUAUGAGUUGCUUAAAUAAAUAAAAGUUAUAUUCAAAAUUGUCUAAACAAAAAAUUUAAGAAACUUUUGAAAAAAUUAUGGAAAUGCUUCCCUUUAUUUAUAAUUGAUUAUAUACAAAAUGUUUUUUUUUUUGCGAAUUAAAAUAUAUACAACUGAAGGGAUUAAUAUAAAUUUGAACAUACAACCAACAUAGUAUCUAAAAAAACGUAGAACCUCCAUAUGUUUGAAAGAGGAUUGCUCCUACGUGUCUACGUUGCAAAAGCGUAAGAACUAAAAAGACAGAACAUGACUUACAAGUUUGUCUAAAUUCUUAGAAGAAGACCCAUCUUUAUCUAAGCAAACACGAGCUCUCUCUUUCAACUUCAAACACAUCUCUCUAAUUCUAUCUCCUUCCUCU
rnacentral:lncRNA from 1 species